rnacentral:misc_RNA from 1 species
GCCUCGAGCGCCUUUAACAACACUAUAAGAAAUAUAAUUAAUUCUUAUAAAUAACAAAUAUAAUUAUGUAAUUUUUGUCUAUUCAAAUGUUUAUCUUUUUUAUUUGUAUUUUUAUAUAUUAAUCUAUCUAUCUAUUUAUAGAUAUUAUAGAUAAAUAUAUAUUUUUUAUGAAUAAAUUUUGAUUUUAUUAAGUAAUUUUCCUUAUAUAGUUGGACGAUUUAGAUUUCUUUUAUAUCUUAUUCAUAAGUGAUAGCUGUGUUUUUUUAUUUUUACUUUUUGAAGAAUCCAAGUCAAUAUGGACAACUCCAAUUAUAAUUGUAGAAGAUUAGUAGGCCCCUAAAGUUAAGAUGGGUUGGGAAAUUAUAAUAUAUAUUGAAUUCAAUAUGAUCCAUGAAUUAUAUAUACAAGAGAUGGUAAUAAUCUAUAUUUAAAGUCUAAUCCCAGCCAAUUAAAUUUGUCUCAUAUAUGUCUUGCUUUAGUCUAUUCAACUAAAUUACUUGCAUGUAUGUCUCCAGCUCUGUAGUUUUCUCUUUUUCCCCUUUGAAGAAUGCUGAAAUCUGUAUAGUUUGAAGUGGUAAUUACUAAGUCUAAUCACAAGAGUAGACCGAUCUGGUUACAAGAUUUAUAAUAGGAUUAAAUUUUUAACAUAUUAAUUAUUUUAGUUAAUAUUUGUUUUAUAAAUAAUAUAAAUACACACUUCUAUAUAUGUUAUAGUUGAUAUUCGUUCACAAGUUUGUACCCACUAUCCGUACUUUAUAUAUAUCAUACAUUAAGCAAUUCUGUCCGGUUCAGUUGAACAAAUGAACUUGUCUAUGUUUUUGUAUUGUUCAUUUUACCCUGGGCUUUUAAGAUACUUGUUUUACCUAAGAAUGAUUUUUGCAUUAGAUUAGGCAAGAUGUAUGAAGAGCAUAUAGGACAAAUUUCUUUUCAGAAUUUAUAUGCAUUUGCAAGAAUUUUUUUCCUUGCAUAGAAAAUAGAUAGGAUCCAUUUAACAAGACCUAGCAAAUAAAAUAGUAUAUUUAUGUCAUAUUUGCGGCUUCACUUAUUAAGAUAUAAGGAAAGUUGUACCUAUUGCAUUGCCCAUGGACCUGUUAAUUUUUUAAGUGUGCUAUUUUAUUUUUGGCCUUAUUUUUAGAACAUAGGUGCUCUUCCUUUUAUUGUAUCCUUUUUUUGGUGGGAGAGCAAUAGGAGCGGAAAGAGGGAGGGAAGGGAGAAUAAUUCUUGGUGAAUGAUACUAGUAUUAAUUUGAGGGUGUUAUUUAUAGCAGACAAUGAUGACACCAUGGCUAAUAUACACAUUACUACCACUGCAGUUGUACUAAAGCCUAGAGGUGGCAGAUGGGUAGGUGUGGGUACUGUGUUGGAUUAUAAAUGACCCAUCCAUCCAUUUAUAACCUAUUUGGCAUUUAUAUAUCUCCAUACCAAUUUAACUCAACUAAACACACUCAUUUUCUCAAAGUAUGAUAAAUUGGUGAUGGUGGUGGAGCACCAUGAUGUGGUUGUGGCUGUAGUGGCUGCUGGAUAUGGCAGUGGUGAUGGUCUGCAUUUUUACUCCUAAGAAUAUUUUUUGGGAACAUAUGGGUGUGUUUACUUUUGGAAUAUGCUAGUUUUCUGGAAAAUUUUUCAAAGAAACUAGAAAAUAGGUUUUGGUGCUAAGAUGCAAAAGUUUUCCUAAUGGAAAACAUAAAACGAGUUUUCCAAUUUUUCAUAAUUACAGCUGAGUAUUGGAAAACAACCUUAGGGCAUUUUCUAUGAUUUUUCUUUUAUAAUUGGGUACUCUUUUCCAUUCAGAAAACAUAUGUUUUCCAACUUUUUGACCAUUCGGGAUUCAAAUCCUAGCACCAGCACUUGUGGUUAACAUUCUUGUUAAGCGGUCUUGCAUAUCAAAACAAUCUUGAACCAUGUUUGAUGGCUCCAUGAAAUUCUUGAGAUUUUUGCAUAAGAAUAGUUAGUUGUACAUGAAUUCAUAGGGCAAGGUGCAUUGCCAUUAAGGCUCAAAAGGGAUCUUGGAGCUUGAGUGUGCAAGUCACAGAUGUGUCCGAGAGAUAUCAUACAUAAAAGAAAUACAACAGGACAAUUAAAUCUAUAUAAGAGUCUAACACAGUUAGAUGCAUCAAUAACAUAAACAUUUAAAAAUCUAGCACUAAUGUUUUUAAAUCCAAAUGAUAUUAAAAAUAAAUAACUUUUUUUUAAUAACAUCUUAACCCAUAAUCCUAUAUUCCUACUAAGGGUUUGUUUGGUUUAACUGUUGAAUACAGUUGAUAGCUGUUAUUGUUAGUUAAUAGGUGAUGAUAGCUGAUUUAUAUUAAGUGUUUGGUAAAACUAUAUU